GCUGUACUAAUUUCAAGAUCAGGGGGAGAGACUUUCAAUGGCUGCAUUGGAUGGCUGGAGUACAGAGGGAGAGAUACUCAUCAAUCAAGAGCCCAUAGCCCGACAAUCCAUGCAAAAUUAUAUCAUGUGUUAAAAGUUAUGACGGAUCAUCGGAGGUGUAAAGUGUCGUUGGCUCCGGCUUUGGGCUCUGGGCUCUGCCGCCUCUUCCUUUUUGUGUUUUGCACAGCUUGAGUUUUCGGGUAAUACUCCUCCUCCUUCUGCUCAUGUCGUGCUCUUCCUCCACUUUUCCAUCCAUUACUCAUCGCAUUCAACGAUUUCCGACUCACUCAUCACACUCUCUCUUUCUCCCGGCAGAGUGCAAUCAAACCGAUUUUUUGAUCUUUCGACAGACAGACAAAAGGAUCGCUCAAGAUUUUUAUACAUUUUUUUGAUUCCAUAUUGACAGGCGGCAUACAAAUCGCCCGAUUGUUGUUAUAAAUUAGCUCAAAAAGCCAUGCACAAUGCCCUCGGGCCAUCCAUCAAUCAUGCUCCAAAAGGAAACAGAGGGCAGAGCAGCAAAUCAGGGGAGCAUCAGACUCAGUUCAAAGACAGUUCGUUAAACUGGACACCCAAAUAACACAACUGGACUCCAGAGAUAUCUGAGGAGGAUCUGAGAUCUCUGCUCCUCUCUUUCGCUAUGAAAACUCGCACCUUAAUUGACUUGGCUGGCAAAUAAAAAUAUGUACUCUGGCGUA
rnacentral:lncRNA from 1 species